ensembl:lncRNA
GCAGGAUAGUAUGUCGCUGGGUUUCCACAUUCUACUCUCCGUUCUACUGCUGACACAAGGUGUGUAUAGUUCACGGAAGCUUCCGGGUAGCAUGCCGUUCGCUACUGAAGGUCCUGGUGGAAAGACACCGAGUGAGCACACCCGCGGUGGCAAAUAGGAAGACAGAUCGAGGUUGGUUGGGAGACGACAGGAAGUCCUACUUCCAGUGUUUGUGUUGUCCGUGAUGCAUAAAGGUUUUCACCGAGGCUUCUAUGGCUAAAAGUGGGCACGUCUAACCGCAAGCAAAAAUGUGUGGCUAGAUACUUCCAUGCCACUGUUGUGGAAGAGGGAGGUGGUGUGUCCCAAUAUGAUUAGAAGCGACAGAGGGAAGGAGAACUUUGUUGUCGGCCAAAUGCAAAUCGCAUAUCAGGUGCGGCAACUUGGAGAGCAAGCAUGGCAAGCCUUCAGAAUGGGGACAUCAGUGCACAACCAGAGAGCUGAAAGCUUCAACAGUAUCUUGAAGUGGACAUGGAUAAAAUAAAUGGCUGACAAGGUUUGAGGUAUUCCAGCAAAUGGUUUAAACAUCUUAAAAUCUUCAAAAGUCUUAACUACCUUACCACUUAGCAC